UGAGAUCGCGAUUAAAGCUGAU
rnacentral:miRNA from 1 species